UACGAAGGGGGCUAGCGUUGUUCGGAAUUACUGGGCGUAAAGCGCGCGCAGGCGGUCUGUUAAGUUAGGGGUGAAAUCCCUGGGCUCAACCCAGGAAUUGCCUUUAAGACUGGCAGGCUUGAGUGCGGGAGAGGUGAGUGGAAUUCCCAGUGUAGAGGUGAAAUUCGUAGAUAUUGGGAAGAACACCAGUGGCGAAGGCGGCUCACUGGCCCGUAACUGACGCUGAGGCGCGAAAGCGUGGGGAGCAAACAGG
rnacentral:rRNA from 1 species